GGGGAUUUAGCUCAGUGGUAGAGCGCUUGCCUAGGAAGCGCAAGGCCCUGGCUUCAGUCCCCA
rnacentral:tRNA from 1 species